rnacentral:lncRNA from 1 species
GCGCUUGCAGAGCCACAUGGGGAACUUUAUGAUUUACUCUCCUCAUGAUGGCUUUAAGGCAAUCCUUUGCCCCAUUAGGAGUACUUCCAACUUUGUCACAUAUGUCCAUAAUAAGACCCCAGUCCUCACUGGUGUUGUGUUCAUUUGUAGCCUUUUCCACGUCCUGCUCGAAGGGGUUGGAGGCGAAAAGCGGCAUCUCGACGGCGGCCGCCCGGCCCCGCUGCGUUGCGUCCCCUCGCGCCGGCCCGCAGCCGCCCCACAGCAGGCCCCCAAA